rnacentral:rRNA from 1 species
AGUGAACGCUGGCGGUAGGCCUAACACAUGCAAGUCGAACGGUAACAGGUCUUCGGAUGCUGACGAGUGGCGAACGGGUGAGUAAUACAUCGGAACGUGCCUAGUAGUGGGGGAUAACUACUCGAAAGAGUGGCUAAUACCGCAUGAGAUCUACGGAUGAAAGCAGGGGAUCGCAAGACCUUGUGCUACUAGAGCGGCCGAUGACAGAUUAGGUAGGUGGUGGGAUAAAAGCUUACCAAGCCGACGAUCUGUAGCUGGUCUGAGAGGACGAUCAGCCACACUGGGACGGAGACACGCACCAGACUCCUACGGGAGGCAGCAGUGGGGAAUUUUGGACAAUGGGCGAAAGCCUGAUCCAGCAAUGCCGCGUGCAGGAUGAAGGCCUUCGGGUUGUAAACUGCUUUUGUACGGAACGAAAAGCCCCGGGUUAAUACCCUGGGGUCAUGACGGUACCGUAAGAAUAAGCACCGGCUAACUACGUGCCAGCCGCCGCAGUAA